CCCGCCGGCGCCCCUCCGCCUGCCCUUCCGGGAGCCUGGGCUUGCACGGGCGGAAGCAGAGGGGGGGAGAGCUGACCGUGCGGCUUCCCUUUCUGCUGGGAGGAUGGCAGCGAGCGCAGGCCUUGCUCCGAGCUGCAGCAGCGCCUGCGGCUGGUACAGCCAUUGUCUGCGAUGAUAGAUGUUUUGAGGCAUCUGGGAAAGAAGAGUAAGAAAAACAAGCUGCAGUGACGUUAUGUUGCAUUUAAGAUGUGCCGAAAGAGACUUCGAAUUGACCUAGGGGACAGUUAAAAACCACCUAAGAAGGGGCUGAGUGCCCUGAGGGGCUUUAGAAAGGCUGCCCUGCUGGGCGCGCUGCCAGAGGCCGGUCUAGGGUGGACGGGAGCCCCCAGCGCAGCACAUCCGUCGGGGCGAAGGUCGUUCAGCAGAGACUCCGUUCGUCCGUCAGAUUCUCCGGCGAGACCUCACCACCCUGGCUCCUUCUGGCUCCCGUGAGGCCCCAGGAGACGUCGGACGGACUCAGGCCUUCACCCCCGUCCCGGCUCGCUGGGGCCCAGCCCGUCCCUGCUCCGCAAACAGCUCCUCACUCGCGGUCUGUCGGUGUGAACACAGGAUUGCUCUUCAGUGCGAGACAACAGGGGCCUCGGCGUGGGGCCCCGCCCAAGACCAGAGCUGCGGCCUUGCGUCUGUCAUCGCGUGUCACUCGCGGUCUGUCGGUGUGAACACAGGAUUGCUCUUCAGUGCGAGACAACAGGGGCCUCGGCGUGGGGCCCCGCCCAAGACCAGAGCUGCGGCCUUGCGUCUGUCAUCGCGUGGGAGCGGCGGGUAUUCGAUGACAGCCCUUAAAGGCAUUUGAAAGGCCUUCAGGGAGCAUGGACGUGACGCUGUCGGCGCGGGGUGUCCACGGGAAACCUCAGAACUGGCUCCAGUAAGCGACCAGCUGGGGCCCCGGCUGCUGCUGCUGCUCUGCCUGUGCUGGAGAAACCGUGAAGGUUUUGAUUGAUGAGGAAGGUGGAAGAGGAACCGCCUACUCUAACGCCUUCAUUUUACAGAUGCGCGUGUUGGGGUGAAACGCUCGCCCCUCACCAGCAAGGUCACACGAAGAGCAGGUAAGGGCUGGUCCUGGGGCCGCCACUACCUCCACUGCUGACUUUCCGGGUGGUGAGUUCCAGAUGACAGCUCAGAUGUGGACGCUCUCUGUGGAUCAGGAAGAAACAACUAAUCUUGGCUUGACUCUCAUCAUUCAUUGAGCCUCCUGGCUGUUCCGUGCUCUUCUGAAAGUCUUUGCACAGAGCAAGGCAGACGCUCCCUCCGGUCUCCGCUAUCAAGACCUCGGAAGCUCAAGGGUCAAGAGGGGACUGCGGCGUGACCCGCAGUGAUGCAGCGCGAGGGGUGAGAUGGAGGGGGGUCCAGUGCCCCAGGGCUAGUGUGGCGCGAGCAGAGCACAGCCGUCCUCCUGAGAGGAAAGUUGGAGGUAACCUGCUCCUUCAUUUCAACUGAUAUUAAAAGUUAGAGUAACCAAAAUAGUACGGUAUUUUUGACAUAAAAAGACAACAGCCCGGAAAUAAACCCACACACAUCUAGUCAAUUGAUGGCAAAGGAGCCAAGAAUAUACAAUGGAGCCAGGACAGUCUCCAAGAAAUAAUCCUGGGAGAGCAGGACAGCCACUUGCCAAAGGACGAAGCUGUGAUCUUACACCAUACAUAAAAAUUAACUCAAAGUGGACAAAAGACUUAAACUUUAGACCUGAAACCAUAAAACUCCUAAAAGAAGAACACAGAUGGCUGUUUCCUUGACAUUGAUCCUGGCGAUGAUAUUUUGGAGUUGACACCACAGGCAAAGGCAACAAAAGUAAAUAUAAACAAAUGGGGCUCCAUCAAACUAAAACGCUUCUGCAAAG
rnacentral:lncRNA from 1 species